AGGAUGCCUUCUACACGCUAGUACGUGAGAUUCGGCAGCAUAAACUGCGGAAACUAAACCCCCCUGAUGAGAGUGGUCCUGGCUGCAUGAGCUGCAAGUGUGUGCUAUCCUGACACCAGGCUCAGGACGUGGAGGUGCCGGAUGCAGGGAGGAGGUGCUGACGGAAGGAAGGAAAGAGGAGGGAAGGAAGGAAACGAUGCUGGAGCCAGGCCAGGCCAGGGAUGGUGGACAGAUGUGACCAAGACCUUCGCAUGGACAAUUUGAACAGACUGUCAAGAACUGUCCCUGUUGUCACUGGCACCCAAGUCCUCCACCCCUCUCAGUUCCCUCCAGGCGCCUAUGAGGGCACAUGUUGAAUCACAGUAAAUUAUUUGAUGGUCUUGA